ensembl:snoRNA
UGUCCCUGACCUGGAUAGAGUGGCAUCUGGUUGGUGGUGCCCCUCUCAUAUCAGCCGGGGACAAAGCAACCCCUUGUUCAUCCCAGCUUGGCUUUUGAUCUGUACCUAUGCCUGGUUCAUGCCUUGGACACAUAG